AGCUCAAGAAAAGGAAUUGUGAUUUCACCUCAUUAGAAGGUUUUUCUCUUUUCUUCCUAGGUUUUAUCAGUAAAUGAGAAAGAUCACAACUGUUGUCUGCCCAGCCCUGGGGCAGUGUGAGACAAAACAAGAAAGAUAUUCUUUUAGCAAUUGCUUCCCAUGUCAAUGCACAUAAAGGAGUUUUCAUUUAGUUUGUUGGAGAACAGCAUCUUCUGCCGAGAGGAAACUAAUGCAGAAAAGGAAAUGCACUAGAAGCUAGAUUUGUUAAUAGCAUUUUCGGACCCAUUAUGAAAUAUUUCAAAUUUGGUAGCUUGUCAGAAGAGUUUACGUCAGCAUUUUGAAGGAGGAUAAUGAGAUUGCUUGAAGUCACCAGAGGUGCUCCCAGGAGAUGAAGGCUAGAAAAAAGAACAAAAGUGAAAAUCAAUCAAGAAACAAUUUUCUCAGCACACCUGUUGAGGGGAGAAACAAGGCUCCUUCAACCAUCAAUCUGUGGCACCUCAGAGCUCAGCCUGAAAGCAAAGGCGAAACGAAAUACGAAAAUUGCAGUGCAGCAGAAGAGGAGUCAGCUAUCUGUGGGCCUCUGCUGAAAUCCCAUCUUUCGGCACUACAACCUGAAACUUGGCUGAACUUGAGACUCUUGAGAGCCCUCAGCUGGAGUUGUUCUGCUGUGUGCUGCUCCUUCUUCUUCCACAGUGGAGGUGUCAAGAUGAGUUGAGACAAAGGAAGACCCUUGAAAAGGAACCUGUAUAAUCACAGCUCCUUGCUGCUGGGACAGGUAAGAUCCACAGGCAUCCAAGAUAUGUUUUCAGCAUUGAAGCUGGCUACAAUCCAGCCAAUAGCACAGCGAGGAACACAUUCAGAAAUAUCUGCUUCAUUAUUUGAAUGCAGUAUAGGAACAUGUUAGCUGGUGUUAUAUGAGCUAACUCAAAUACUAAAAAUCUGAAUCCUGGACAACAAAAAAUAUGUUAGUUAUGACAAGCUUACUUCAUAUCUAAAUCCCACAGAGAUUUAUGUGACUUGUAAAGUUUGAACCAGAAGGUGCUCUCAGAAAACCUCAAUCCAGUUCAGCAGUUUGCCCUCCAAGACAUGGGAAACUGAAGUUCUAUGUGAGGGUGCUUGAAAUGCUACUUCCCACUACCUGGAGAACAUUGCAUAUAGUAGAUGUUACACUAUUUUGAAGCAAGCUAUUUAACCAAGAGAGAGUGUACAACCAUAAACAGAAUCCCCAUGUUCCUUCCCCACAAAGACCUCAAACUCCUUUCCAAGGUAACAUCCCUAGGUGUGUAACUGUUUGUAUUACAGUUGUCACGGUAAUGUCAGGUGACCAGGGUCAAGAGAUCUGGAUACCAGGCCUUGUGUUUAUUCUUGAGAAUUCAAUCUUUCUUUAUCCACUCAGUGGUCUUAACAGAGGUGCUACAAAGCAGGAAAAAAAAUUCCCCAUAGAAUAUUAUGAGAUUUUUAUUGAGAUGCAUUGUUUUCUGCCUGGCAAUUUUUUACAAAGGUUAACCAUGAGGUGAUGUAUGAAUGCCAAUAACCACUAGGGUUUAUAAAUUAGAAAAGGACAUUGUUAUAAAAAGAUGAGAAUAAGAAC
ensembl:lncRNA